GUCAAGCUCUGCGGCCACUGGCAGACACAUUCUGCUGAGUUUCACUUUAUAUUGGAGAGUUUGUCUGCAGAAUGUAACUGCCAUUUCAAAUAUGAUAUCUAGCGAUCGCGACCAAGUGACCAAGUACGUUACUUCAGUCCCCAGAGUAAAGUACAAACAAGCAAUCUUCUUCAUGUUCUUGCCUUGGCAGUUUCUUCCGCACUUCGUUGCAAAAGCUCCUCGUAUGCUUUCAUGGAGUCAGAUGCAAAGCCGUCGAGGGCCUCGAAAAUGGACUGCAGACCUGCCUGCAAGUUGAUGCUACCAUCUCCUUGCACAUGUUCAGUUACCAGAAUCAGUUUCUUGUCUAAUGCCUGAAUCUUUUUUUGCAACUUUUGGUCAUCUCUGUCGAUUUUUUUCACUUUCCUUUCGAGAUCCUUGUUUGUUAUCAUCGUCUGACGCACUUCUUGCUUAUCAUGCUCCCAUAUUUGAAGCACGCUCUUAGCAAAAACGUGCAUAGAAUCAACUACCUUCUUCUCAGAGAAUCUGUCCAGACCUUGUGACCACUGAUUGCAGAUUACAA
rnacentral:misc_RNA from 1 species